UUCGGUUUCUCCAUACAAAUU
rnacentral:piRNA from 1 species